GCCCCAGCUAUGACUGCCAACAUCAACCAACUCCUGGAGAUAAGCAUGGAUAAAGCCGUGCUUGAUGUGGCAACACCCAAUCCUCCAGGUGAGGACAUACAAGAAACUCCAGAACAACAAAAAGUUUCAGGACAACUUCAGAUUUGGAGAAUUUCUAAAACCACAUACUCAUGUAUGCAGGAAAGCGGUUUGCCUACAGCCCCCCUGUUUACAAAACCCAGACAUUGCUUGCAGCAAUCGAUUACAACUAUCACAACCACCGCAUUCCUGCACGUGGCAAGGAUGGACACCGAAUGUACAGACAGUACUUCAACAAGAAGUCCGAGCACUGGAAUGUAUAUGUGUUGAAGGAGAGCAAAGGCUACCAUUACAUUCCAGACCUGCAGAAGGCCAUCCUUGCUGAGAGGCUGGGAAGUGGAAUGGGCCUUCCCAGAAUACAGGGUCUAAGGCCUGAUGAUCCCAGGCGCUUGGGUUUGCUUGCCGCAACGCAGCCUCCAUCCACAUUUGAACUUGUCACGGCUCAGGUUUCACGGGGAGAGGGUGGUGCCCAAAGUGAAUUCUAAACUAUUCCAUUCUUUCAUAGCUGUGUAUGUAAAUAAUUUGCAAAUAAUUCAAGAGUCGUAAAAAGAAAUAUUUUUUUAUUUAUAUGUAAAUAAAAAACAAUGAACAUCAAACUGUACA
ensembl:lncRNA